rnacentral:rRNA from 1 species
ACGGGUGAGUAAUGCCUAGGAAUCUGCCUGGUAGUGGGGGAUAACGCUCGGAAACGGACGCUAAUACCGCAUACGUCCUACGGGAGAAAGCAGGGGACCUUCGGGCCUUGCGCUAUCAGAUGAGCCUAGGUCGGAUUAGCUAGUUGGUGAGGUAAUGGCUCACCAAGGCGACGAUCCGUAACUGGUCUGAGAGGAUGAUCAGUCACACUGGAACUGAGACACGGUCCAGACUCCUACGGGAGGCAGCAGUGGGGAAUAUUGGACAAUGGGCGAAAGCCUGAUCCAGCCAUGCCGCGUGUGUGAAGAAGGUCUUCGGAUUGUAAAGCACUUUAAGUUGGGAGGAAGGGCCAUUACCUAAUACGUGAUGGUUUUGACGUUACCGACAGAAUAAGCACCGGCUAACUCUGUGCCAGCAGCCGCGGUAAUACAGAGGGUGCAAGCGUUAAUCGGAAUUACUGGGCGUAAAGCGCGCGUAGGUGGUUUGUUAAGUUGAAUGUGAAAUCCCCGGGCUCAACCUGGGAACUGCAUCCAAAACUGGCAAGCUAGAGUAGGGCAGAGGGUGGUGGAAUUUCCUGUGUAGCGGU